AUUUCCGACGGUUGAAUGUGGAUAGGGAGGGGGGAACUCCAGCACCAGGGAUUUCUUCAGGUCCUGAGCCUGGAGGGGUUAGGUGCUCCCCCCUCCCCCCCACCACGAGGUCCCAUGGCAGCCACAGAGACAGCACACAGGAUGUGGAGAGGAGGCAAGAGAGCAUUUAUUGUUGGGAAGGUGUUUAAAGGCUUUUA